GCUGGGCAUGGUGGCGCGUGCCUGUAAUCCCAGCUACUCAGGAGGCUGAGGCAGGAGAACCGCUUGAACCCAGGAGGUGGAGGUUGCAGUGAGCUGAGGUCGUGCCAUUGCCCUCCAACCUGGGUGACAGAGCGAGACUCUGUCUCAA
ensembl:misc_RNA Metazoa_SRP Metazoan signal recognition particle RNA